rnacentral:rRNA from 1 species
UACAGACUACCGGGAUGCCUAGUAACGGCGAGUGAAGCGGCAAAAGCUCAAAUUUGAAAUCUGGCAUCUUUGAUGUCCGAGUUGUAAUUUGAAGAGGUUACUUUGGAGGCUGGCUCUUGUCUAUGUUCCUUGGAACAGGACGUCAUGGAGGGUGAGAAUCCCGUCUGGCGAGAGUUUCAGUUUUCAUGUAAAGUAGCAUUCGACGAGUCGAGUUGUUUGGGAAUGCAGCUCUAAGUGGGUGGUAAAUUCCAUCUAAAGCUAAAUAUUGGCGAGAGACCGAUAGCGAACAAGUACAGUGAUGGAAAGAUGAAAAGAACUUUGAAAAGAGAGUGAAAAAGUACGUGAAAUUGUUGAAAGGGAAGGGCAUUUGAUCAGACAUGGUGUUUCGUGCUUCUUGCUCCUUGUGGGCGGGGAGACUCACACGGUUCACUGGGCCAACAUCAGUUUUGGCAGCAGGAUAAAACUUUGGGAACGUAGCUUUCUUCGGGAAGUGUUAUAGCCCUUGGCAAUACUGCUAGCCGGGAUUGAGGACUGCGCAUUUAUGCAAGGAUGUGCUG